rnacentral:rRNA from 1 species
AGAAUCAACGCUGGCGGCGUGCCUAACACAUGCAAGUCGAACGAGAAAGUGGAGCAAUCCGCGAGUAAAGUGGCGCACGGGUGAGUAACACGUGACUAACCUACCCUUGAGUGGGGGAUAACCUAGGGAAACCUGGGCUAAUACCGCAUAAUACCUUCGGGUCAAAGGAGCAAUUCGCUUAAGGAGGGGGUCGCGGCCGAUUAGUUAGUUGGCGGGGUAAUGGCCCACCAAGACGAUGAUCGGUAUCCGGCCUGAGAGGGCGCACGGACACACUGGAACUGAAACACGGUCCAGACUCCUACGGGAGGCAGCAGUGGGGAAUUUUCCGCAAUGGGCGCAAGCCUGACGGAGCGACGCCGCGUGUGGGAAGAAGGCCUUCGGGUCGUAAACCACUGUCGAAGGGGACGAUAUUGACGGUACCCUUGGAGGAAGCCCGGCUAACUACGCGCCAGCAGCCGC